rnacentral:rRNA from 1 species
UCCCUGGUUGAUCCUGCCAGUAGUGAUAUGCUUGUCUCAAAGAUUAAGCCAUGCAUGUUUAAGUACAUACCGAAUUACGGUGAAACCGCGAAUGGCUCAUUAAAUCAGUUAUGGUUCCUUAGAUUGUACCCACAUUUACUUGGAUAACUGUGGUAAUUCUAGAGCUAAUACAAGCAAACUAGAGUUCCAACCAGAGAUGGAAGGAACGCUUUUAUUAGAUCAAAACCAAUCGGUGGUCUCGACCAUCGUUUACUUUGGUGACUCUGAAUAACUUUUAGCUGAUCGUAUGGUCUCGUACCGACGACAAAUCUUUCAAAUGUCUGCCUUAUCAACUGUCGAUGGUAGGUUCUGCGCCUACCAUGGUUGUAACGGGUAACGGGGAAUCAGGGUUCGAUUCCGGAGAGGGAGCCUGAGAAACGGCUACCACAUCCAAGGAAGGCAGCAGGCGCGCAAAUUACCCACUCCCGGCACGGGGAGGUAGUGACGAAAAAUAACGAUACGGGACUCAUCCGAGGCCUCGUAAUCGGAAUGAGUACACUUUAAAUCCUUUAACGAGGAACAAUUGGAGGGCAAGUCUGGUGCCAGCAGCCGCGGUAAUUCCAGCUCCAAUAGCGUAUAUUAAAGUUGUUGCGGUUAAAAAGCUCGUAGUUGAAUCUGUGUGCCACACUGUCGGUUCACCGCUCGCGGUGUAAACUGGCAUGCUUGUGGGACGUCCUACCGGUGGAUUUAGCUUUAGUGUAAAAACUAAAGCGGUCCAAUAAUCCUGUCGCGGUGCUCUUAAUUGAGUGUCGAGAUGGGCCGGUACGUUUACUUUGAACAAAUUAGAGUGCUCAAAGCAGGCUUAUUAUCGCCUGAAUACUGUGUGCAUGGAAAUAAUAGAAUAGGAUCUCGGUUCUAUUUUGUUGGUUUUCGGAAUUCCGAGAUAAUGAUUAAUAGGGACAGAUGGGGGCAUUCGUAUUGCGACGUUAGAGGUGAAAUUCUUGGAUCGUCGCAAGACGAACAGAAGCGAAAGCAUUUGCCAAAAAUGUUUUCAUUAAUCAAGAACGAAAGUUAGAGGUUCGAAGGCGAUCAGAUACCGCCCUAGUUCUAACCAUAAACGAUGCCAGCUAGCGAUCCGCCGAAGUUCCUCCGAUGACUCGGCGGGCAGCUUCCGGGAAACCAAAGCUUUUGGGUUCCGGGGGAAGUAUGGUUGCAAAGCUGAAACUUAAAGGAAUUGACGGAAGGGCACCACCAGGAGUGGAGCCUGCGGCUUAAUUUGACUCAACACGGGAAACCUCACCAGGCCCGGACACCGGAAGGAUUGACAGAUUGAUAGCUCUUUCUUGAUUCGGUGGGUGGUGGUGCAUGGCCGUUCUUAGUUGGUGGAGCGAUUUGUCUGGUUAAUUCCGAUAACGAACGAGACUCUAGCCUGCUAAAUAGACGUAUUUCUGGUAUCUUGAAGGUCUACAGUUUUCGGAUUGUAGAUUUUUACUACCGACGUACUAAAACUCUUCUUAGAGGGACAGGCGGCUUCUAGUCGCACGAGAUUGAGCAAUAACAGGUCUGUGAUGCCCUUAGAUGUUCUGGGCCGCACGCGCGCUACACUGAAGGAAUCAACGUGUCUUCCCUGGCCGAAAGGCCCGGGUAACCCGCUGAACCUCCUUCGUGCUAGGGAUUGGGGCUUGCAAUUAUUCCCCAUGAACGAGGAAUUCCCAGUAAGCGCGAGUCAUAAGCUCGCGUUGAUUACGUCCCUGCCCUUUGUACACACCGCCCGUCGCUACUACCGAUUGAAUGAUUUAGUGAGGUCUUCGGACUGAUACACGGCAAUGUUUCGGCAUUGCCGAUGUUGUUGGAAAGAUGACCAAACUUGAUCAUUUAGAGGAAGUAAAAGUCGUAACAAGGUUUCCGUAGGUGAACCUGCGGAAGGAUCAUUA